rnacentral:rRNA from 2 species
GUCCUUUUGUUAAAAUAAAAGGUCUGACCUGCCCAGUGAGGUUUUAAACGGCCGCGGUAUUUUGACCGUGCGAAGGUAGCAUAAUCAUUAGUCCUUUAAUUGUGGGCUUGUAUGAAAGGUUGGACGAGUGGAAGACUGUCUUUAUUUGUAAUAUUGAAUUUUACUUUUGAGUGAAAAGGCUUAAAUGAUUUAGGAGGACGAUAAGACCCUGUAGAUCUUUAUAUUUAAAUAUUAAUUUUUGUAGUUGGUAAUGAAUAAAUUUGCUAUUUGACUAUUGCGUUGGGGCGACGAGAAGGUAAAAUAAACUCUUCUUAAUAUAAUUACUUUUAAGUAUUUCUGUGAUCCUUUAUUAAUGAUUAAUAGACUAAGUUACCUCAGGGAUAACAGCGUAAUUUUUUUUGAGAGUUCAUAUCGACAAGAGAGAUUGCGACCUCGAUGUUGGAUUAAGAUUUUGU